UCUCCGUUGGUGAACCAGCGGAGGGAUCAUUACCGAGUUUACAACUCCCAAACCCAAUGUGAACCAUACCAAACUGUUGCCUCGGCGGGGCCACGCCCCGGGUGCGUUGCAGCCCCGGAACCAGGCGCCCGCCGGAGGGACCAACCAAACUCUUUCUGUAGUCCCCUCGCGGACGUUAUUAUUACAGCUCUGAGCAAAAAUUCAAAAUGAAUCAAAACUUUCAACAACGGAUCUCUUGGUUCUG
rnacentral:misc_RNA from 1 species